rnacentral:rRNA from 1 species
AGUGAACGCUGGCGGUAGGCCUAACACAUGCAAGUCGAACGGCAGCACAGUAAGAGCUUGCUCUUACGGGUGGCGAGUGGCGGACGGGUGAGGAAUACAUCGGAAUCUACUUUUUCGUGGGGGAUAACGUAGGGAAACUUACGCUAAUACCGCAUACGACCUACGGGUGAAAGCAGGGGAUCUUCUGACCUUGCGCGAUUGAAUGAGCCGAUGUCGGAUUAGCUAGUUGGCGGGGUAAAGGCCCACCAAGGCGACGAUCCGUAGCUGGUCUGAGAGGAUGAUCAGCCACACUGGAACUGAGACACGGUCCAGACUCCUACGGGAGGGAGCAGUGGGGAAUAUUGGACAAUGGGCGCAAGCCUGAUCCAGCCAUACCGCGUGGGUGAAGAAGGCCUUCGGGUUGUAAAGCCCUUUUGUUGGGAAAGAAAAGCAGCAGGUUAAUACCCCGCUGUUCUGACGGUACCCAAAGAAUAAGCACCGGCUAACUUCGUG